ensembl:lncRNA novel transcript
GGACACUCCUGUGGCUGGAGAAAGCUGGAUCUGAAGGUUGUAGAAACUCGCAGAAAGAAGCCAUCAAAGUGACUUGGAAAGGAGGGCCUGUCACUAAACACACUUAGCAAAUCGAUGAAGAUCUUGUAGCAACACUUCGCCCUCUGAGAUCCAGUUGCAUCCAUCUGUCCCUUUUGUUAUCAUUUCAUCCAGAAACCAACUGUCUGAAGACUCUUGCAUUUUCAAAAAUGGAUAAAAUGGUUAUCCACUAAAAACAAAAUCCAUGACUGAUGGUAAGUUUCUUUCCCUGGUGUAUACAAACCUCAACUGGAGAUUCCUGGCUGGAUGGACAUGGGGGCUGAGGCUGCUGUAGCCCUCUUUUAUUGCUAGUCUGCCUCCCCACCGUGGCUCAGAGUUGUACACCUGUUCCAAGUAGCUGAGGAUUCAUGGGAUGUUUGCAGCAGCUGAACACUCCUCACAAAUGCUCUGGAAGGAAUGCACAUGUCUCAAGAAGUUAUUGAAUCUUUUUUUUUUUUCAUUUUCUAAGGAAUUCUUCUAAAAAGCUCUGGUCCUCUGGCAAGGAAUACAGGUGAAAUUUUACUCCUACAAGAUCAUUGUCAAUUUAAGGCCAGGUUCAAUCUGGCUGGAGUCAGGAAUGACAACAUAAAUGCAUUGCAGCUGUUUUAUUUUUUAGGCUAAUAUUAAGAGGGAAAGAAUCGCACACCAUUCCCAGGUGGAGGGUAUAAGUGGAGAUUUUAAGAAAGAAUUUAUAAUUUUUCUGAUUAUAAUAACAAAGGAGUAUGAUAGAAAAUCUGAAAAAUGAUAAUAAUAAUACUGCAAAAUAUCACAACCCAGAGAUAAAUGUUAGAGUUUUGCCUUUCUUUCCAUUUAAAAAUGUGUCUCCUUUUGGCUUUAUAUAUAAACAAUUGUGUUCAUGUUCUACCUAAGCUAAGUUUUUGCAUACGAUAGCCUGCACAUUUUUUCAUUCUUUAAAAAUUUCCAAAACUUAUUGUAAAAUUUGGUUUUAAAUUUCUGUACGUAUUUGAUCAUGUUGACCAAUAUUCUAAUGUACAUAUAGAUUAUUUCCUAUUUUUCUAUCAUAUAUUAUGCCAAGAACAUCUCUCCAUGUAAAUCUUGGUGUGCAACACUGAUUAUUUAUUCAUUACAAAUUCAUAAAGUUUUUACUGAUAUGAAGAUAUAAUAUGUUUUAGGCUUUUUUUUUUUUUUUGCGAUGGGGUCUCGCUCUGUUGCCAGGCUGGAGUGAAGCGGCUUGAUCUCAGCUCACUGCAACCUCCUCCUCCCAAGUUCUAGUGAUUCUCCUGCCUCAGCCUCCCAAGUAGCUGGGACUACAGGGAUGUACCACCACGCCCAGCUAAUUUUUGUAUUUUUUAGUAAAGACAGCAUUUCACCAUGUUGGCCAGGGUGGUCUCGAUCUCUGGACUUCGUGAUCCGCCUGCCUUGGCCUCCCAAAGUGCUGGGAUUACAGGCAUGAGCCACCACGCCUGGCCUUUAGGCUUUCAAAAUGCAUAUUGACAAUGUAAACACUAGAAAAAUUAUAUUAUUGACAAGCCUGUAAGCAGUAUAUGAGUAAGGCCAUACUUUUUCUUCCAUUGCAUAAAAGAAUUAUUUGAACACAACAACAAAAGCAAAAGGACUUAUUGAAAACAAAUACAGAAUUAUCUUUGCCAUACAAACGUGGACAAAAGGAUAUUUGUUUUAAAUUUGCAUUUCUGUCUUUACUGGAAUUUCUUCUUUUUGUUUGCAUUAUGUGUAGUGGCCUCUUCUAACUCUUCUGUUAUUUUGUCUGUUUAUAUUCAUGGCCUGUUUUUAUAUUAGAAUAAAUGAGUGUUCUUUUUGAUUGUUCUAUAAGGCCUAUUUAUAUAUUAUAGCUAUUAAUCUUCUAACCAAAAAACAUCUUUUCAUUUUCUGUGUUUCAAAAGUUUAAAUUUUAGUGUUAUUUGUACAGUUGGACCUCCGAAUUCAUGGGUUCCUCAUCUGUUGGUUCAACCAAUCACAAACUGAAAAUAUUCAGGUGGGAAAAAAAGGAUGGUCACAUCCAUACUGAACAUGUACAGGCUUUUUUCUUGUCAUUAUCGCCUAAACAAUUCAUCAUGGCAGCUAUUUACACAGCAUUCAUUAAUACUAUAAUUAGGUAUUAUAAGUAAUCUAGAGAUGAUUUAAAGUAUAUAAGGGGUUGUACGUAGGUUAUUUGCAAAUAUGACAUUGUUUUAUAUCAGAGACUUGAGAAUCUGUGGAUUUUGUUAUCUGUGGGUGUACUGUAAUGCAUCCCUCAUGAAUACUGAAGGACUGGAUAUUGAUUUUUUAAUAAUAUUUAUGAAUAGACCUCUUUUCUUCUGUCAGAUAGUCACAUAUAUUUGACACUUUAAAUUGAUAUUUUUAUUCAUGUCUCUAAUAUUUUAAAUUUACAUAUAAUCUUUAUUUUGACACAUAAAUUAUAAAUUUAUUUUGACAAAUGUAAUGUGACACUAGUUUCAUUAAAAACACAAUUUGUCUCUCACUCUUCCUCCUUCUCACCACAUACACAUACAAUCUGAAGGCAAUACAGUAUCCUGGUUAAGGAUGCAAACUCUGGAACCAGACUGCUUGGGUUUAAGUCACGGUUCUACCUUAACUAACUGUCUAGGCAAGUUACUUAUCUUCUCUGCACCUCAGUCCCCUCAUUUAUAAGAUGACAAUAGAUAUAGUACCAUCCUCAUAGAGUUGUACUGAGUAAUAAAUGAAUCAAUACAGGCAAAGUGCUAUAUGAUAAGGUACUAUGCAAGAAAUGCCUUAUUGUAUUAAUUGCCUAAUAAUUGUUAGCUGUUACUACUACCAAUUAAGUUCUGAUAUAUCCUGGGUUCUAGGAGCAAUUAUAUAUUAGUGACUAGUUAUAUAGGAUAGCAUGUUGGGCUUGGGAACCACCACAGCUUGAAUAUGAAUUCCAGCUCUGGCAAACUCUAGUCAUGUGGCUUUGAACAGAACACUUAAGGUCUCAGAACUGGUUUUUUCACCUGUAAAAUAGGAAUAAGUAUCUCAGUUUCGCAAAAGUUUCAAAAACAUUAUACUUUUCUUUUUGGUAUCUUAUUUGACACAUGAAUUAUAUAGAAGUGUGCUAUUUUGUUUUCAUAUAUUUUGAGAUUUUCCGGUUAUCUUCCUAUUAUUUAUUUUUAAUUUAAUUCUAUUGUAGUCAGAGAAUACUUCAUGAGUCAAAUCACUGCAGAUUGAUUGAGACUUGUUGGCUAGCCUAGGAUAUGGUCUGCCUUCCUAAAUGUUCUGUUUACUUGAAAAGAAAGUAUAUUCUGUUGUUAUUGACUGGAUUAUUCUAUAAAAAUCAAUUACAUCAAGUUGGUUGAUAGUCAUAUUCAAGUCUUUUAUACCCUUAUUGAUUUUCUAUACUUCAACUUUGUUCUCAAUAUUUAAAAUUAUUUUGACUAUUCUUGGUCUUUUGAAAUUCUGUAUAAAUUUUACAAUCAUCUUACCCAUUUCUUUAGAAAAUACUGCUGGCAUAUUGACUGGGAUUAUGUUGAAUAUAUAGAAAAAUUUGAGAAAAAUGGACAUCUUAACAAUUGAAUCUUCUCAUCCAUGAACAUGGUAUACUGUAUCUCUACAUUUAUUUAAAUGAUUUUAGAUUUCUCUCAGCAAUAUUUUAAAGUUUUCAAAAAUGUAGGUGUUGUAGAAUUUCAUGAAAUUUAUCCCUAAGUAUUUGUAUGUUUAUUGAUACUUUUGUAAGUAGUAAUUUUGUAUAUUUCAGCUUCUCGUAGUCUGAGCUAAUAUAUAGAAAUAUAAUAGAUUUUGUUGUGCAUUGAACUUGUGUCCUUGGAACUUAACAGUUAUAGUAGCGUGUUUUUUGUAGAUUUCAAUAGACUUCAUAUGCAGACAAUCAUGUCUUUUGAGAAAAAAAUAAUAUUACUUCUUCAUUUCUGAUCUGUAUAUUUUUAAAGCCUUUUUGCACCAGCAUAGGCCUCCAGUAGAUUGUUUAACAGAGGCGAAUACCUUGCCUUAAUAUAGUGAAGAGAGUGUUCAAAUUGCCUUGUUGCUAAUCUCUAGAGAUACCGUUCAGUUUCUUUUGUCAUAAAAUACAAUGUUAGCUACAGAUUUUGCAUAGACGUUCUUUACCAUUUUGAGGAAAUUUCUAUUUCUAGUUUGCUGGAAUUUCUGUUUAUAAUUGAAUUCUGUCAUUUACUUUAUCUGCAUCUACUGAGAUAAUCAAUUUUUAUUCCUUUAUUCUGUUAAUAUGUUGAAAUACAAUGAUCAUGUUUUCUUACUAUAUCACAAAUUUGAUUUUUAAUAUUUUGAUGGCUGCAUUUUAUUAUAACUGGUUUCUUUUGUAAAGCUACUUUUAAUAGCGUUGUAUUUGCUCUUUUUAAUGCUUUUUAUUUUGGAAUACUUUAAGACACAAGAAAAUAAUAGAAAAGAGUUCCUGUGUGCACUUCACCCAGAUUUCCUUCAU